GAUGAACGCUGGCGGCGUGCCUAAUACAUGCAAGUCGAGCGAACAGAUGAGGAGCUUGCUCCUCUGACGUUAGCGGCGGACGGGUGAGUAACACGUGGAUAACCUACCUAUAAGACUGGGAUAACUUCGGGAAACCGGAGCUAAUACCGGAUAAUAUAUUGAACCGCAUGGUUCAAUAGUGAAAGACGGUUUUGCUGUCACUUAUAGAUGGAUCCGCGCCGCAUUAGCUAGUUGGUAAGGUAACGGCUUACCAAGGCAACGAUGCGUAGCCGACCUGAGAGGGUGAUCGGCCACACUGGAACUGAGACACGGCCCAGACUCCUACGGGAGGCGGCAGUAGGGAAUCUUCCGCAAUGGGCGAAAGCCUGACGGAGCAACGCCGCGUGAGUGAUGAAGGUCUUCGGAUCGUAAAACUCUGUUAUUAGGGAAGAACAAAUGUGUAAGUAACUAUGCACGUCUUGACGGUACCUAAUCAGAAAGCCACGGCUAACUACGUG
rnacentral:rRNA from 1 species